CCUACGGGGGGCAGCAGUGGGGAGUAUUGGACAAUGGGGGGAACCCUGAUCCAGCCAUGCCGCGUGUGUGAAGAAGGCCCUCGGGUUGUAAAGCACUUUCAGUGAGGAAGAACGCCUGGUGGUUAAUACCCAUCAGGAAAGACAUCACUCACAGAAGAAGCACCGGCUAACUCCGUGCCAGCAGCCGCGGUAAUACGGAGGGUGCGAGCGUUAAUCGGAAUUACUGGGCGUAAAGCGCGCGUAGGUGGCUUGAUAAGCCGGUUGUGAAAGCCCCGGGCUCAACCUGGGAACGGCAUCCGGAACUGUCAAGCUAGAGUGCAGGAGAGGAAGGUAGAAUUCCCGGUGUAGCGGUGAAAUGCGUAGAGAUCGGGAGGAAUACCAGUGGCGAAGGCGGCCUUCUGGACUGACACUGACACUGAGGUGCGAAAGCGUGGGUAGCAAACAGGAUUAGAUACCCUGGUAGUC
rnacentral:rRNA from 1 species